AUUGAACGCUGGCGGCAUGCCUUACACAUGCAAGUCGAACGGCAGCACGGGGGCGAACCCUGGUGGCGAGUGGCGAACGGGUGAGUAACAUAUCGGAACGUGCCCUGGAGUGGGGAGUAACUAGUCGAAAGACUAGCUAAUACCGCAUACGAUCUACGGAUGAAAGUGGGGGAUCGCAAGACCUCAUGCUCGUGGAGCGGCCGAUAUCUGAUUAGCAGUUUGGUGGGGUAAAGGCCUACCAAGGCAUCGAUCAGUAGCUGGUCUGAGAGGACGACCAGCCACACUGGGACUGAGACACGGCCCAGACUCCUACGGGGAGGCAGCAGUGGGGAAUUUUGGACAAUGGGCGCAAGCCUGAUCCAGCAAUGCCGCGUGAGUGAAGAAGG
rnacentral:rRNA from 1 species